UACGUAGGGGGCAAGCGUUGUCCGGAUUUAUUGGGCGGAAAGAGCGUGUAGGCGGCUUUACAGGUCCGUUGGGAAAACUCGAGGCUCAACCUCGAGACGCCGGUGGAAACCGUAAAGCUAGAGUCCGGAAGAGGAGAGUGGAAUUCCUGGUGUAGCGGUGAAAUGCGCAGAUAUCAGGAGGAACACCCGUGGCGAAAGCGGCUCUCUGGGACGGUACUGACGCCGAGACGCGAAAGCGUGGGGAGCAAACAGG
rnacentral:rRNA from 1 species